rnacentral:rRNA from 1 species
GAGUGCGUCUGCAGUCGACGAUUCUUACGGGAGGCAGCAGUGGGGAAUCUUGCGCAAUGGGCGAAAGCCUGACGCAGCAACGCCGCGUGCGGGAAGACGGCCUUAGGGUUGUAAACCGCUUUCAGGGGGGACGAAGCUUCCGAGGUUAAUAGCCUACGGGGUGACGGUACCCCCAGAAGAAGCCCCGGCUAACUACGUGCCAGCAGCCGCGGUAAUACGUAGGGGGCGAGCGUUGUCCGGAAUCAUUGGGCGUAAAGCGCGUGUAGGCGGCUUGGCAAGUCUGGUGUGAAAUCUUGGGGCUCAACCCCAAGCGUGCACUGGAAACUGCCUCGCUAGAGUCCGGGAGAGGAGAGCGGAACUCCCAGUGUAGCGGUGAAAUGCGCAGAUAUUGGGAAGAACACCGAUGGCGAAGGCAGCUCUCUGGAACGGUACUGACGCUGAGACGCGAAAGCGUGGGGAGCGAACAGGAUUAGAUACCCUGGUAGUCCACGCCGUAAACGAUGGGCACUAGAUGUGGGCGGUGUCGACUCCGUCCGUGUCGAAGCUAACGCAUUAAGUGCCCCGCCUGGGGAGUACGGCCGCAAGGCUAAAACUCAAAGGAAUUGACGG